AGCUAUGUUAUUAUUUGCUUUUCGUCUUCUUCUCUAAUUUUACGCAAAAACUAGAUUCACGCUUUUAGAUUUGGACUGAUAAAGAGCAACCACAUAUACCACAUUGCAAAGACUCUGUGCAUGAAAAGUAAAUUUCAGAAACUUAACGAGCUGGUCCAAGAUCUAAGGAGGCAGUUGCCGCAAUGCAGAAAUGAAAAUCAGGUUGAGUUGACGAAGCUAGAAACUGAGCUUGAUCAGCUGCUGUUAAGAGGUGUUCAGUCCAUUUUUACAGGUUUUAGAUAUGGUGGAUGGCUAGAAUCAAUUUGAUGCAGUAGGAGAUAUUGGAUAUGAAUCUCAUUGUUAGAUGAUCAGCUGCUACAUUCAUCAUGUUUCACGAGUGCUUUGCUUGCUGUCUCGACCCUCGACCCUUUACUUUAGAGAUUUCAAUAGAUCAGAAGAGAGUUAAGAGGUAGUUGACAACUUUUAUAAGCUAGCCAGAGAUAUAAUCAAGGUUGAUGCGUUCAACAGAGGAUAUCAUCUUUGGAACAAAUUAGAGCUCAUGGUAAAAUCUUCAUUUUUUGGUUAUGGAUCAUCAACUAUAUGUUUGGUUUUUUUUUGUAAGUGUGUAGCAUUACAAAGGUGCCCAAUUAGCCGAUCACAUAUAAGCCAUAUAUAGCUGCUUCUUUCUGUGAUUGGUCAGUAUGUCACCAAUAUAAGUAUCUUGUUGGUAGCCUUUUCUGAAUGUGUGCAAAUUUGCGUUCUCUUUUCUUAGCUAUUAACUGUACACAGUACACAUUAAAGUACUCAUUUUUACUCUCAUUAUGAGCCACAUUCUCUUCAGCUAGUAAGUAGUUCCGAAGAAUUUGUUUCUCUAUA
rnacentral:misc_RNA from 1 species